CCUUGAGGGAUGACAGUGUAUCUGGCAGAGUCCGCAUGGUUUUCUCUGACUGCCCAUCCAUGUAUGGUGCCAAGCAAGCUGUCACCAAGAACCAGUAUUGAUGAUCUCUAUGACGUUAGACUGGAGAAGGAUGCUUGAUGCGAAGAAAUUUCAAGACACCACACAUAUUGGAAGAUAAACGAGGUAUCAGUUGUUCUUACCUUCACUUCCAUACGGUGUCAAAUGCCUAGAAUGUGCAAGAGCAAAAGGAGUUUCCUCUGGAGAACCCAUACAUUGCUUAAAUCCUUCUUAGAGUUCCCAGGUCACUAUCACUUCUUCAAGGAAAGAGUAAUUCAAGUGUCAAAUAAGGCUUUCAAGCAUUGGAACAGAAGAAACUUUGCAAUACCUCAAUUCCUCAAGUAGCUCCUCUCAACUUGAAGACAGUUUCUUUACUCCAUAUGCAUCACCGUGUCACUAUCAAAGAGGACUGUGUCCAACCACAACCAGUGACAGCAAUUCUACAUCGGUUUCAGCAUUUUGAAUCUUGACUGUAGAAUCCGCCAUAGCUGCUACCUCCAUAGCAAUUCCUGCAGCUACAGAUGAAUCAGAGGACUUGGAUGUGGGAAAUAACCAUCAGGGCGCUGCUACAACUAUGUGAUCAAAACAUGGUGAAGAGACUCACAAAAGGAAAAAUAUGCACCAUGACUGCAAUCUUUUGGUCAAGGGAGCUAAAAUCCAGUCAGAACCGUAACAGCUCAGUAGCUCCUGCUCUGUGUGUGUUUGAGUGUCUGCCUCAGAGAGAGAGAGAGAGAGAUGGAGGGACAGGGGGAAGAGAGGAGGGGAGAGACGGACAGAGAGACCAAGACACAGGGAGAGGAGAGAGAAAGAAGUGAUGGUGAUUAAGUAUGACGGAGCCCAUGAUAGAUUAUGUUCUCUGGCGUAUGGCGACAAUAUUUAAUGGGCGUGAUGUGUGUUUGGCAAAUGAAAUCACUCCUGUUAUGCUGUCAUGGAAAAGCCCACCUACCAUGUGCCAUGCUGAACUUUUCAGAGAGGCAACAGGUGGUUCUGAUCAAUCUUGUGAUCAUCGUUUAGAACAAAAUGCCAUGCUAUUUUCAAGUGAGUUCGUACUACUGUACUAGCAGCAGCACUAUUCCCGAUCAUAUCGCAGCAACUAGUGUGGCACAUUCUGGUAUCGGCCCAUUCACGAGAUGCUCCCAGUCUUUGCAGACGACCAGGUGCUCUGAUCUGUCUGAUCAAGCUCGGCCAUUCCUGGGUACAGAAAAGCGGAGAAAUGAUACAAAGGAUCUCUUUAUAGAUCUGGGAAGAUAAGAUAAACUGGAGCAAUAGGCCACAAGAAUCGUAUGAUCACGAGUACAGUACUUGCCUGCGUACCCUAUGUAUGGCCCAUAAUCUUCCUGGCUCCCUUGUCUCUCGCUGGCAAGCACGUUUUGAGCCCUCAGGCAUGGAGGAUAUGUCACCAAAAUUGACAGACAUCCCACAAAGAGCAAAUGAAUGAGCUUUAAGGAAAAUUAACGUUGCUCUUCAGAUCAAUCAGAUCAAGUCUUUAAAACGAUAAUAUCAAGUAUAGAAGAAGUCACUUAUUACUCCCAGGCUCAGUUCGUGAACCAUCGGUACUUGAAAUGUUACCUGUUUUUGCGCCCUUUUGUCAUGUUUCAACCAUAAGCUAUUAGAAUUUAGAACCAUCUACACUAGGCAUGGAUCUGUCUGGCAACUAACUUUGUUAAACUCAUAAAUGGAUCUAUUUGGGCUCCAUAUAUAGACGCCAGCGACAGUGGACCAAGGUACAUGCACUUGUGAAUUGCAAUCACUUGGUGCGUGAGGUGUCUGUAUUAUAGACUUAAACAUGCAUGUUGUUGAGAGGCUUCAUAUUUAGUACUGAC